rnacentral:lncRNA from 1 species
AAUUAUUCUGUUGCUUUAUUUUUAUUUUAUCGUAAGUUUUUAUCACUGGAUAAACACAAUAGCUAAGUAGUAUUUUGUUGAAAACCAUAAUAUAAUAUGGUAAUUUACUAUUCUAUAAUAUGUAUUUUAUCAUCCUAUGAUUUAUCGAAAUUAUAGUUAGCGUUCGGUUUUUCAUCAUGGCCAAUAUAAGGAUGCCAAUAUUAU